rnacentral:rRNA from 1 species
AGAUUGAACGCUGGCGGCAUGCCUAACACAUGCAAGUCGAACGGGAGUAGCAAUACUCUAGUGGCGGACGGGUGAGGAAUACGUAGGAAUUUGCCCUUAAGUGGGGGAUAACCCGGGGAAACCCGGAUUAAUACCGCAUGACCUCGAAAGAGCAAAGUGGGGGAUCGCAAGACCUCACGCUUUUGGAGAAGCCUACGUCGGAUUAGCUAGUUGGUGAGGUAAUGGCUCACCUAAGGCGACGAUCCGUAACUGG